rnacentral:rRNA from 1 species
AUUGAACGCUGGCGGCAAGCCUAACACAUGCAAGUCGAACGAGUGGCGGACGGGUGAGUAAUGUCUGGGAAACUGCCUGAUGGAGGGGGAUAACUACUGGAAAAGGUAGCUAAUACCGCAUACCAUCGGAUGUGCCCAGAUGGGAUUAGCUAGUAGGUGGGGUAAAGGCUCACAUAGGCGACGAUCCCUAGCUGGUCUUAGAGGAUGACCGGCCACAUGGGAACUGAUACACGGUCCAGACCCCUACGGGAGGCAGCAGUGGGGAAUAUUUCACAAUGGGCGAAAGCCUGAUGCAGCCAUGCCGCGGGUAUGAAGAAGGCCUUCGGGUUGUAAAGUACUGUCAGCGGGGAGGCGUUACCCGCAGAAGAAGCACCGGCUAACUCCGUGCCAGCAGCCGCGGUAAUAC